rnacentral:tRNA from 1 species
UCCUCGGUAGCUCAGCUGGUAGAGCAAGUGACUGUUAAUCAUUGGGUCGUCGGUUCGAAUCCGGCCCGGGGAGCCA